rnacentral:lncRNA from 1 species
UCCCUAGUAGGCUACUACCUUGUCCUGGAAAGUCCACUUAAAACAAGGCUAUUUACUACCGAGAAGCGCUUGAGCGAUAGGAUACAGCCGUCAGGGUAGGACGUAGGGUGUUCGAAGAGAAUUUGCCUCAAACUCCUACCUUAGUAAAGAAAAUGCACAGCACAGCUUUUGCUGUGAGUUGCUUUAAGAAAUGGGCUGACGAGGGAUGGAGGAGAGGGAGCUGAUCAAUGCCAUGUGUCGAGGAAACAGAAAAGGGAACCGAAAUGCCUCGGGGUUGGCUUCCCCCUCACCCCUGGCCGCUCAGUGGCUUCUAUUUGCUCGGCCGUACCUCAAAGCUGAAUCACUCGCUAUUAGCUCCGCGCCUCCUUCGCCCUUCGCUUGGGGGGGCUAAACCACUCAGGACUUCAAAGGCUCAAUAAAGCCUUAGCGAGGAGCCCCGGCCAGGGCCAGCCCAGCCGCCGUGUGCUCGGCGCAGCUCCUGCCCCGCGCUCGCCCUGCCCUCCACCUCCUGCCCUCCAAGGGGGCUUCGGAGAGUCCCCGCCUAUGGACAGCCGGAGCCCAGCCGAGCCGAGCCGCGCCGCCUGCUCGCUCGGAGAAGGACUUGUGCCCUCACCUACGCGGAGUGAUGGGGGUGGGGAGCGAGCACGGACGGGAGAGCGCAGAUGCCAAUGGUCACCAACACCCAAGAUUGCUCUCAAGGAAAGGAGGAAAGAAAUUAUCUUCUCAAACUGCGCUCCAGCCGGUCAUUUGACCCUGACACCCACCGAUGACACUGAAGAACACCCCGUUGAAGCGGCUAAACGCCUCGCAAUUUCCUGUCUUCUCUUCCCCCAGGCGGCCCCGGCGCACCGCCGCCGAGCGAUCUUAUCGCCGUGCGAUCAUUAUUCACCGGUGACAACCAGAGAUGCAGCGCUCCUAAGUGAGGGUGACAGAUUUCAAACGCGGGGCUGCAGCGUAUCCAGCCUCAGACAUAUUCUUCCUCAAACUUUGCCUAGCAAGGAAGUCAGCGGUUUAACCCUUUGCAGCUCUUUCACUCUCCCAGGGACCGGGACCUCAGCACCGGGGAAUACUGGUUGGGGGGAAUGCAGGACAACACGGCUACUUGGCUGGGAAUUCUUUUUUACCUGCCAUUUUAUAUUCUUGGUUAUUUUCACUUGAAACAGGGGUUUUCUUCUCACUGUUACUACAGUACUGUUUAACCGUGGUUCAAUACAUUGCUGAAAUUAGGUUCAGCUCAUUGUCAGAUGGACCUUAUCCUCUCAGAACUUUAAAACUUCCAAGGAUGCAGGCUGUACUCUUGGCAAUCUAUUUUGUCUUGACUUCUUUCACUGGAAAGAGGUUUUUCCCUAUAUUAUGAGAAGUCAAGGUGUUCAGAUAAAGCCUAUGGUGACUGGAGAAAAGAGAACCACCACAAUCAUUUUUUAAAAAUGUAAAAAGGAAGACUCUGGAAACUACAAAAUGGUGAGCCUCACCUCUAUGCCUGGGAGGCUUGUAAUGAGUUGUGUCCUUCACGGCUCAUCCUGGGACCAGAACUCUGUAAUAUCUUUGUGAAUGACACAGACAGUGAGAUUGAGAGCAUCCUCAGCAAGUAUGCAGAUGACAAGAGGCUGAGUGGUGGGGAUGACAGAACAAAAAGAUCCACAGUGACCUGGAAAAAAUCUUGAGAAGUGGGCCCAGAAGUACAUAUUGAUGUUGAACAAGUUCAUGUGCUGCACCUAGGCUGGGGCAAUCCCAGACAUGAGCACAGACUGGGAGACAAAGAUCUGGAGAACAGCCUGAGGAGAAAAACUUUGAGUUUCUGGUAGACAUGAGCCUGCAGUGUGUGCUUACAGCCCCAAAAGGCAACCAUAUCCUGGGCUACAUUGAAAGAGGAGUGGCUAGCAGGUUGAAGGAGGUGAUUCUUCUCCUCUACUCUGCUCUCAUGAGACCCCACCUACAGUGCUGCAUCUGUCUUUGGGGUCCUCAGCACAGAAAAGACAUGGACCUGUUGGAGUGGGUCCAGAGGAGUGCCACUAAAAUGGCCAGAGGAGUAGAGCAUCCCUCCUAUGAAGACUGAAUGAGACAGCUGGAGUAGAUUUCCCUGGAGAAAAGAAGUCUGGAGAGAGAACAUGAUGUGGUCUUUAGGUACGUAAAGUGUGCUUCUAAAAUAGAGGGGAUAGUGGUAGGACAAGGGGAAAUGGUUUUAAACAAAAAGAGGUGAGAUCUUAGUUAGAUGUUUUGAAGAAAUUCUUUACUGUGAGGGUGGUGAGGUACAGGAGAAGGUUGUGUUGAGAAGUUGUAGAUGCCCCAUACCUGGCAGUGUUCAAGGCCAGAUUGGAUGGGGCCCUGUACAACCUGAUAUAGUGGGUCACAGCAGGGAUUGAAACUAGAUGAUAUUCAGGGUCUCUCGCAAACCAAGGCAUUCUAUAAUCUGAUUAUUUUAUGAUCCUCUUUCUCAAUGUCUUUACAGGAUGCAGUUGGCUAAAACUGGAUGAAAUUUAUUUAUAGCAUUCUAAAGAGUGGCAUGUAAAUGGAUAUAAACAAUUGUCUUGGUUUCUUGGAUGUGCUCUCCUCUUGUUCCUACAGCUCAGAACGCAGUUAGCCAUUUCUGUUGCAGGUACACACUGGUGGCUCAUGCUCAGCUUGCUAACCACUGCAAACUUCAGGAAUUUUCCAGCAGAACGGCCUGGAACCAAUCCAUCCCAGCCUGUAACAUUGCAAAAGGCUCUGCUUCCAUGUAUAGGAAUUUACAUUUGUCUUUGCUGAAUUUGAUAAGACUCCUGUUCACCCCAUUCCUUCAGUAAGUCUGAGUCCCUCCACUCUCAGUUGUAUUGACUGUUCCUCCCCUCCUGGUUGUCACCUGCAGACUUGAGAAAAGGUACUUCAUCAGCUCCUUCAGUUUAUUGUUAGAGACACUAAACAAGACAGAUAUGUAAUGCAACAUUUGCGUUUCAAGAAUUCAAGUAGUUCAUUCUGUCUUUCUGGUUCUGACACUCACAAGUCUCCCUCCUAACUGUUCUUAACUCUGACCAGCUGAAACAAGGGUAAAUUAAUGGGCUCUACACCAGAAAAUGUCUUUUAUUUCAAUGAAAAUAUUGUCUGAAUGAAGACCAAAAGAUUGUGUCAUUCAUCAUACUGGGCAUUCUUUCAACAAAGGGAUUUUAAGAAAAUCUCUGGUUCAGCAAAUGCAUAAAAGAGAGUCUUUUGAUUUUCAUAGCUGUACAGUGCAGUACUUUGAGGGUAACAUUGGUGUAUAAUUAUAAUUUCUAAGAACAAAUUGAAAUAAAAGAUCUUUGUGAUGAAAUAUGUAGUCUAAA